GGUGGUGCAUGGUUGUCGUCAGCUCGUGUCGUGAGAUGUUGGUUAAGUCCCGCAACGAGCGCAACCCUUGUGUUUUAGUUGCAAACAGGUCAAGCCGUGCACUCUAGACAGACUGCCGUGGACAACACGGAGGAAGGUGGGGAUGACGUCAAAUCAUCAUGCCCCUUAUGAUCUGGGCUACACACGUGCUACAAUGGCCGGUACAACGGGCAGCGAAGGAGCGAUCCGGAGCGAAUCCUAAAAAGCCGGUCCCAGUUCGGAUUGCAGGCUGAAACUCGCCUACAUGAAGUUGGAGUUGCUAGUAAUCGCGAAUCAGAAUGUCGCGGUGAAUGCGUUCCCGGGUCUU
rnacentral:rRNA from 1 species